rnacentral:rRNA from 1 species
UUUUACAAUGGAGAGUUUGAUCCUGGCUCAGGAUGAACGCUAGCGGCAGGCUUAACACAUGCAAGUCGAGGGGCAGCGGGAAAGUUGCUUGCAACUUUUGCCGGCGACCGGCGCACGGGUGCG